AACUAAAAUAAUAGUUUGAAUUAUGAAAACUGAUUUCAAAAUUCAAUAGAAAAUAUGAGCUUAGUAGUUUUUUUUAAUUUACAAUGAUUUGAUAGAAUGAUUUGCAUAGAUUUUAAACUAUCAACACCAAAGCAUAUUUCCAAUUCAAGGAAAAUGUAUACAUAUAGAAUACAUAUUAUGUGUUAUGUCUAGACAUGCACACAGACAUUUGAGCUUGGACAAAAGCAAGGUCAUGCCUGUUUAAAGCUAUUAAUCUAGAUGAUGUUUCAUUAAAACCAAAGGCAUAUGUAACAUUUGUAAUAAAAGCCAAACAAACAAAUAAAAACUUUAUUUGCCUAAUUACAUCUAAGACAUUCUACUGGAUACUGAGCUAAUAGUGGUAAAAAAGGCAGAGAUGGUCUCUGCCCUCAUGGAGUUUAUAAUCUAGUAUGAAGAGAGAGAGACUUCAAAAAGCAACAAUAACAGGAUGGAUUAUUACAAAUUACAGGAAUUGCUAUGAAGGAAAGCAGAAUAUAAACUCAUGGAACUGUAGAUGUUCAUUGACAGAGUGGCUUUAGACAUCAUCUAGUGAUCAAAUGUGAUAUUUCACAAAUAAAUAAUAUAUUAUUUGUGAUAUAAUUGUGAUAUAGUCUAAGGUGAUUAUGGGAUCUGUCCAAGGUCACAUAACUAUAGGGGGCAUACAUCAAAUAAGACAUAGAGAAAAUUGACAGUUGAUUAUUUUUAUUGCAAGAAGAGUUUGAAAAUUUUUAAUUAAUUUUUUAUUGACAUAAUAGAUGUACAUAAUUCUGGGGUAUAUGGGGUAAUAUCAUACUUUCAUAUAAUUUAUAAAGAUCAAAUCAGUGUAUAUUAGGGUUCUCCAAAGGGACAGAACUAAUAGGAUAUAUGCAUAUAUGAAGGGGAGCUUAUUAUGAAGAAUUGACUCAAAAAAUCCCAAGGUGAAGUCCCACAAUAGGCCAUCUGCAAGCUGAGGAGGAAAGAAGCCAGUAAUGGCUCAGUCCGAGUCCAAAAGCCUCAGAAAUAGGGAAUCAAACAGUGCAGCUUCAAGGCCCAAGAGCCCCCCGGCAAAUCACUGGUGUAAGUCCAAGAGUCCAAAGGCCAAAGAACCUGGAGUCUGAUGUCCAAGGGCAGGAAUAA
rnacentral:lncRNA from 1 species